AGGGCACCACCAGGAGUGGAGCCUGCGGCUUAAUUUGACUCAACACGGGGAAACUCACCCGGCCCGGACACUGGCGCGAUGGACAGACUGAGAGCUCUUUCUUGAUUCAGUGGGUGGUGGUGCAUGGCCGUUCUUAGUUGGUGGAGUGAUUUGUCUGGUUAAUUCCGAUAACGAACGAGACUCUGGGGGUUUACUGCGGCGCUUUCUUGUUUUCUGUGUUGCUUGUAGGUCCUUUACGGGGCUGGCUCGCGACCGGAGAGCGAUCGAGAGCAGGCCCGCUUAAACCCGACUGGCGGUGAUGAAGCCGCACGAAAUGGAGCAAUAACAGGUCUGUGAUGCCCUUAGAUGUCCGGGGCCGCACGCGCGCUACACUGAGAGGUGAAGCGAGCGUCGAGUGUACCCGCGCCUAGCGGCGCGGGGAACCCCGAAAGCCUUUCGUGAUUGGGAUAGGGUUUUGCAACUCUCGCCCUUGAACGAGGAAUUCCCAGUAGGCGCGACUCAUCAGGUCGCGUCGAUUAC
rnacentral:rRNA from 1 species